CCAAAUCCUUUCCGCGAGCGUAACGCCACGGCGAAUUUCGGCUCGAAUUUUCGCCGUGGCGUU
rnacentral:sRNA from 1 species